AGUGCCUUUUCUCAGGAGAGAGGCCAUCACUUGAAGAUGCUGGGUCUCCUGCUCCUUCUCCUGGGACGAGGCUCAGUGUUCAGUGCUGUCGUCUCUCAAAAGCCAAGCAGGGAUGUCUGUCAACGUGGAACCUCCGUGACGAUCCAGUGUCAAGUCGAUAGCCAAGUCACCAUGAUGUUCUGGUACCGUCAGCAACCUGGACAGAGCAUGACACUGAUUGCAACUGCAAAUCAGGGCUCCGAGGCCACAUAUGAGAGUGGAUUUGUCAUUGACAAGUUUCCCAUCAGUCGCCCAAACCUAACAUUCUCAACUCUGACUGUGAGCAACACGAGCCCUGAAGACAGCAGCAUAUACCUCUGCAGCGUUGAAGACACAGUGCUGGGCACAGAUCAAAGAUCUGAGCAAGAACCUCAACUCUCUCCUACCCAGCUCCCCUUACAUGAGCCUGAGGGCCCUGCCAAGAUGGGACAGGAGGAGGAAACCACAGCUCUUGGGCAGACACAGCUGUUUCUGUGCUUGUGGGUGGGCAUGGGUGUGAAUGGAUAGACUGGGGAUGAGGAGAGCAUCUGUAGGACUAGCUGGUGUGUUCUAUCCACAGACAGGAAGGGUGGCUCCUGGAAAGCUGAGGGUAAAAUUUCUUCUAGAAGGAUGCUCAGAAAUACCCAAUAAAAACAAUCAGAUACAGUUUCCUUCAAGUGGCAGGGUCAGUAAUAGCCUUUAACUGUUUUAUCUCAAGGCUCUUUUUAGCUGGUUUUCUAUCAUAAUAUAUUUUGGCAGAACUUUAGUCACCUUGAAACAAAGCUGGUACAUUACAUUAAUGACAUCUGCUUGUUCUCAGUCAAUAGGAAUUAUAAAGCUCUCUAGAUGCCUCAAUAUGACAAUAUGACACAUGUAUCCCAGGCCAACAUAAAAUCUGCGAAGUUCAGGAACCUUCUAUAAUGGUGAGUUUUGGAGUAGUCCAGAGGUUUGGGGCAUGUCAAAAUAUCUCCUCUAAUGUGAGAAG